rnacentral:lncRNA from 1 species
UGGACGGUUUAUCUUGGGUUUUUUGUGAUGUAGGUUUUUCAGUAUGCUUUUUCUUUUUUGUGACAGGUUAUUCUGGGGUGAAACAGGUCGGUAAGAAAGAUGAUGAUCCAAAUAUACUUGGGUCUUGGGAAUAUGAAAGGGGUUGUGAUUGGGCUGCGUAGGAUGGUGUAUAUAUAGGAUAAGGUGUAAAGAGGUCAUAAGGCAUUAGGGGUUGUGUUUGUCGCUGAUUUUGUAAGGAAUUUAGUUGGGCUUUAAGGCUUUUUAGCUCAGAUUCCUUUUGGGCCAUGAUAGAAGAGUUUAUGGAAACAGUAGCUAGUAGCCAAC